rnacentral:rRNA from 1 species
UACGUAGGGUGCGAGCGUUGUCCGGAAUUAUUGGGCGUAAAGAGCUUGUAGGCGGUUUGUCGCGUCUGCUGUGAAAAUCCGGGGCUCAACCCCGGACUUGCAGUGGGUACGGGCAGACUAGAGUUCGGUAGGGGAGUCUGGAAUUCCUGGUGUAGCGGUGAAAUGCGCAGAUAUCAGGAGGAACACCGGUGGCGAAGGCGGGACUCUGGGCCGAUACUGACGCUGAGGAGCGAAAGCGUGGGGAGCAAACAGG